GACCCCUCCCUAGCCAGUCUCCCGAGCCCCGGAGCCUCUCCUCGCCUCUCCCUAUCGCCAUGGCCGCCGGCCUCCUCCUCCUAAAUUGGAGCGAGCCGAGCCCUCCCUCUCCUCAUAGCCACCACCACCCGAAGCCCCUCACUCCGGCGACCCUCCCCGGCCUCUCUUCUUCUCGCCGGAGUGCCUCAGACCGCCCCCCCAAAGAUCGGCCCCGCCGCCCUGGUCCUCUGUCUCCUUGAGCCUCCGCCAUCCUGCUCCUCCCCGGUGCUCGUACUGCACCUGGACGGGCGCGACACCUCCUGCCGAGUCCUCCAGUGCCCUCGCCGUUGUCUGAGAUGGCCAGAGCCGCCCGGGAGCCUCGCCGGACCGGUCGGCCUCGCACUGCCUCGGCGCGCCGUUGGGAUGGAGAAGGAAGAAGAGAAGGGAGGAGAGAGAGAGGUGCACGGGCCCCACCAGAUAGUCACACCAGAGCCGGCCCCGCGUUGACCCCGGCGGCCAACGUGGAUAAGUGACGAGCCCCACUGCCCGUGGGACCCGCAUGUCAGCGUCACACGAGCCGGCCCCGCCUCCGCCUAGUCACGUAAGUGGAAGCGUAUUCGCAGGAAUACGUUUCCGUUUCUCGAAAGCGUAUUCUCCCUUCUUAUAAACCAAAGUGCGCUUUCCCUUCUGGAAAGCGUAUUUCCUUUAACUUCAGCUCAAAAUAGGUUUUCCAUUUCAGAAAGCGUACUCAGCCGAAGGCGGUUUCAGUUUUUGCCUCCAGGGACUUGUUUGUUGAAGUUUUAUUCACAGUUUGGUCCCUGGUGUUCAACACCUCAUAACUCCGCAACCGUAACUCCGAUUGAGCCCCCUCCGAGAGAGAACCCUUUCCGGCGAUUACUUCCGCGAUCGUUCCGCACUUCUCCCUGGAGCCUUCUUCAUACCCAGGCAAGGCACAACCACCAUCUGCAUUAUAGCCAUGCAGAAGCAUUGGUUUUCAACUUGAAUAUUUAAUAACUGCAUGUUCGUUUUGCUA